rnacentral:rRNA from 1 species
UGCCAGCGCCGCGGUAAUACGGAGGGGGUUAGCGUUGUUCGGAAUUACUGGGCGUAAAGCGCGCGUAGGCGGUUCGGUAAGUAGGAUGUGAAAGCCCCGGGCUCAACCCGGGAAUUGCAUUUCAAACUGCCGGGCUAGAGUAUGGUAGAGGGAGGUAGAAUUUCCUGUGUAGCGGUGAAAUGCGUAGAUAUAGGAAGGAAUACCAGUGGCGAAGGCGGCCUCCUGGACCAAUACUGACGCUGAGGUGCGAAAGCGUGGGGAGCAAACAGGAUUAGAUA